ensembl:lncRNA
GGAAAAAAUUACAUGUAUAAAAGGGAAGAUGUGAUGUGGUCCAAAGAAAGGAGAGGUCUCAGUUAUCCACAAAUCCUUUGUGAACUCUGUAUUGGCACUUGCUUCUUUGGCAUUUCAGCUUGUUUGAAUUAUAUGUGGUUUAGAGUUCAGUAACCAGUGACAGCCAAAGAGAAAAUAAAUGAAAACAGUGAGAAAAACUGCUGCUGUUCCAAAUAGGGCCCAGCCAUGGAAGAAACUCAUGCCUUUUGGAAAUUAAGUUAGUGGAGCUUUGUGUGUGGAUAGGAAUUUAGCACUUCAGCGCUCCUUGCAGGAAGAGGACCCUGACUGAGUGGAAGCAACUUCAAGGAGCAGACCACAGGCAGUAACAUCUGUGCAAGCUGCAGUCCCUCUGCUUUGGUGGAGUCACUUGUACAGAUAGGAAAAUUAACACUGACUCUGGCAGCGUGUGUGUAUGUGCAAACAGGGGCAGAACUUCCCAAGGGAAGUCAGGUUUGAUGCUGAAGUGACUUCAGCAUAAAACUAUGGAUGAAUAACUGAUCAAUAAUUUAAGACAUAAAUUUUCAUUACUCUCACCCUAUAAGAGAGGUCUGGGGACCAUACCAUUAAAUAUUAAACACUAUUUUCAAUUUCAUGCUCUGCAGCAAAUAAGCUUUGGCUGCAAGUACAGUUUCUAUAGUGGACAUACAAUUACUGGAGUACAGUCUUGUUUCUAAUAAGCCAUUUGUAUUCCUACUAUAGGUGCGUACUUUGUGGCACGAUCCCAAGAACAUUGGCUGGAAAGAUUAUACUGCUUACAGGUGGCAUUUGAUUCAUAGACCUAAAACAGGAUUAAUAAAAGUUUUAGUGUAUGAAGGGAAACAAGUCAUGGUGGAUUCUGGACCAAUCUAUGAUACAACCUUUGCUGGUGGACGAUUAGGUCUUUUUGUCUUCUCUCAAGAGAUGGUCUAUUUCUCUGACCUCAAAUAUGAAUGCAGAGAUGCUUGAGCAAUGGUUGCUGCAUUACCAGCAAAGUACUGUAAAUGCUAUGCAACCUAGACACCUCAGUACAUUCUGGUACUCCCAGUUUCUAUUAUUGUAUACCUCCUGUCCUCUGUCCUCGUGCUCCACUCACCAGGUGCCUCCCUGCUGCCAGGAGUGCCUCAGCCAUCCCUUCACCCAAGUGCCUUCUCACAGCCAGGAUUAAUGAAACCUAAACGUGAGCGUCUGACCCACCACUGAAGCAGUAGCAGAUUGAUACGUUAGAACACUUUUGUAGAGUGAAAACAUGGGGUUUUAUUUGUCUUUUUUUUUUUUUAAAGAAUGACGUUUACAUAUAAAAAUGUAAUUACUUAAUGUAUUUAUAUAUAUAUAUGGAGAAAAAGAGGGGGGUGAUGAUUAUGAGUCAUUGUCUUUAAGUGAGGAAAAAUGUGUUUGAAUAACUUUUUAGGUGUAUGGUUGAUACUUCUGUGCUCUGAUCAGGACUGGACUUCAGUAACACAAAGCUUCUGGGUCUAACUUUAGCAAAGUAAUGGAGGGCUGCACCAACAGUUUCUACAAUAACGAUGAAAAUGCCUUUGGAUAAUAAAGAUCAGUUAUGAAGACUUCUUGAUCCAAAAAGAUGUUCUUUAGCUGAUGAGGAUGCUUUUAAUACACCUAUUAAAAUCACAGUUGGUAGAAAUGUCUGAUUUGCAACUUGGAGCAUAGCCUAGUUGAAGCUUAAUUCAGGCCAAACAGAAUUGGUCUAGAAACUUACCACGUGAAAGGGAAGAAUGAGUCAUGUAAACAAACAAAGCAAUCACUAUCGUCUGACUUUCACAAAGUUAUUUCCAGUUGUUCUGUUUCCAUCAUAUUUUGCAUUCGCUUGUAAUAAAGAAUAUACAAUGACCAUGUGGAGCAAAAUGAACCUGAACCACUUUCCCCACCUCUGCUGCAAAAAGCACUUUGAGAUCCUGAAUCCUGAUGUGGGUUUCUGAAAAGGUGGCAAGGCCACUAUUGCUUAAUUUGGUAACAUAUGAAUCUAAGGUUCCACUUAUAAAUAUUUUGUUAGUAUUUAUUAAGAUUAUCACACGGAGCUACCUUCUCUGAUAAUUUAUUUUAAAGCAUGUUAUAUAAUGUAUUAGUAACACAUUCACAAAUAAUAUUUUAAAGCUGUUUGUAAAAGCAUAUCACAAUAUGUAGAUUUUGUCAAAGCAUGGUAUACACUUAAGUAUAGUUUCAUGGGUUAUAUUCAUGUAUACUUUAAAGUUAAAUGAAUAAUAAUAAGGAAUUUAUAAAUGGAACCUUAAUAUAUAUCCAGUUACCCUAAUUUUAAUAUUUUGUAUUGAUACCUAUGUCUACUGUAUAUAGAACUUCUUAAAUAAUGCUGAAGGGAUACCAGUGUUUAUUCUAAACAGAUACAACAGUUACUCAGAUAUACAAUAGUAUAAACAUGCUUAACUUUGUUUGUUUUGCUUUGUUUAAGUUGUAUGAGCUUUGUUCACAGAAAGAACACAUACUGGUGUAAUUUUAUUCAUAGAUGGGUGAACUAAUGGAAUAAUACAGUACCUCUGCCGCCUAUAGGGCACAGUGAGCUAAACCCUUGAAACAGAUCUUGUUGCUAUAUUCAUUAGAAAGGAAUCCACAGUUACUGGCUUUAUUUUAUAGUGUUCAUAUUAUCAAAUCUUUUUUUUUUUGUUUUGUUUUGUUUCAGACUUUUUUUUUUUUUGCUGUUUUGUUGCUUUUUGUUUUUUUGGUGUUUUUUUAUUUGUUUGUUUGGCUUUUUUUGCCCCCUUUUUAAGGUUUUUUAAAUGUUUCAGUUUCUUUUGGUGCUUCAAAUUGUGUCCCCAUGUCCCAAGCAGAAGGGAAGGGUAACUUCAUUAAAUGUAGUGAUUGUAAUGGCUAUGUAGGUUUUUUUUUUUUUGUCAGAGACAGACAUCAAUGUGGGGAGGAAGAUGUUAAUAUUUGGACUGUAUCAUAGUUUUCCUAUUCUAUGUAAAUUAUUUAUGAUGUUUUUUUAAAUUUCUUUUUCUUUUUUUUUCCUUGCAAGUGUGUGUGAGAGAGUGAGAUCAAUGAAAUUUCAUUUGUUUUGCCAAAGAUUGUAAAUAAUUAUUUAUUUGUUCACAUGGACGGAACUUUAUCAUUUAACGUCCUGAUUCAUUUAGUCAGAUCCUCAUUUAUAUAUAUAUUAAGAAAUUAAUGAUAGGAAAUAAACUGUAAAAAGGUUUUAUAUAAAAAACUCUCUUUACCUUUUUUAUAGUUAAAAUGUUUCUUUAAAGAAAAUAUUCCAUUCUCCAAAGCUCUCAGUUAAAUAAUCCUCCUGCCUUGCCAUAAACCAGUUUGUUUCAAGCAAACCACCAAAUCUGUUGCUUAGUUACAAAUCACUAUCUUCUAAGGUUGUAAACAGCAGAUUUCCUGCUCACUCUGACAAGACAUCAUUCCCCAUAAAGUCUUUAUCUGGCAGACUAUCCCAGGUUUUAUUUAUAACAUUGCAACUGAGAAAUUUUGGUCCUGCUUCUCUAAAUUGUCUCUUGGC